AGGGGGUCCUUGUAUGCCAGAGAUUGGCAGUUCUGCUGUCCUUCAUGAUAAAGCGAAAAAUAAGAUCCAAUCACACGCAGCAAACCAUAACUAAUGACGGAACAUGCAGCUCCUGAUAAACCGAAACUUUUCGAGGCCAUGGCAAACAAAUUACUACUAGUACUGAGAUGGUGAAGACUUUUCCACAACAGCACCAGCAACAACAAC
rnacentral:lncRNA from 1 species